AUGAGGUCCAUGGCGGCGGCCACGAGCAACACAUCUGACAACGUGCACAAUGAGAGAGGCGAGGAGGAGACGCGGCGGAUCUUCCUAGUGUGGAAGGCCGAGCUCGGCAAGACCUACAGCUCCGUCGCCGAGGAGGAGGGUGCAUACGACAUGUUCAAGCGCCGCCUCCGCGACAUCGACCAGUGGUGGCACGAGAGCGGCUACUCCGCCUGGUCCUGGGACAAGGAGAGGAGCGAGGAGGAGACCCGGCGGAUCUUCGCGGAGUGGAAGGCCACCAACGGCAAGUUCUACAGCUCCAUCGACCACGAGGAGCACCGGUAA
rnacentral:rRNA from 1 species